CAGGGGUUAGUUUAUUAAAAUAUCGGUUUUGGGGAUCGAAGAAAGAAUUUUUCUACUCCUGA
rnacentral:tRNA from 1 species